rnacentral:rRNA from 1 species
GACGAACGCUGGCGGCGUGCCUAACACAUGCAAGUCGAACGGAGAUAUGAUUUCGGUUGUAUCUUAGUGGCGAACGGGUGAGUAACGCGUGAGCAACCUGACUCUUAGAGGGGGAUAACACUCGGAAACGGGUGCUAAUACCGCAUAAGACCACGACAUGGCAUCAUGACGAGGUCAAAGGAGCAAUCCGCUGAGAGAGGGGCUCGCGUCCCAUUAGAUAGAUGGCGGGGUAAUGGCCCACCAUGUCAGCGAUGGGUAGCCGAGCUGAGAGGCUGAUCGGCCACACUGGAACUGAGACACGGUCCAGACUCCUACGGGUGGCAG